rnacentral:rRNA from 1 species
UACGAAGGGUGCAAGCGUUAAUCGGAAUUACUGGGCGUAAAGGGUGCGUAGGCGGUUCGUUAAGUCUGUCGUGAAAUCCCCGGGCUCAACCUGGGAAUGGCGAUGGAUACUGGCGAGCUAGAGUGUGUCAGAGGAUGGUGGAAUUCCCGGUGUAGCGGUGAAAUGCAUUGAGAUCGGAAAGAACACCAACGGCGAAAGCACUCUGCUGGGCCGACACUAACACUGAGAGACGAAAGCUAGGGGAGCAAAUGGG